UGGCCAUGCCAGAGCAUACGCGGGUACACUGUGCGUGCAAAUUCGCCCUGAUGGCUCGUGACUGCCGUCGUCGGUCAAAUGAUACUUAAUAAUACUUCCAUCGGCGUGGCUCGAUAGAAAUCCCGUACCACGGACACUGGAAAUCCAAAAAAAGGGAGGCUUACGGGACCGAGUUUUAAGUUUUGAGUUUAAGUUUGGACUUGAUAAUACCGUCAUAAGUAACAUCGAGCUAACGGUUGUGAAUUUAAGAAACCAACUUCCAUAAGAUACAUAGUCUAUCGUAUACCUUAUCCUAUGAGUUUGUAAUUUGUGACGAAAAUAAGAAAAAGAAAAUUAACUUUGAAGGACUCGAUGAUCGAAUAGGCAGACAUCGAUGUUUCCACAGUCGAAUAAUGACAAAGAGAAUAAAUCGAGGGGUGAAAAAUGGAAGUUUACGAAUAAAAUUGUAAUUAAACGUAUGCAAAUUACUUGGAAGUCAAUGCAAUAGUCAUGGAAUCGGCUGCAUA